CCGAGGUGGAAGCGUGGUGACACGUGGAGCUGACGGAUACUAAUAGAUCGAGGACUUAACUAAUUU
rnacentral:rRNA from 1 species